rnacentral:rRNA from 1 species
AGCAGCACCACCACCAGCAAGGUAGGUGAGAUCAGAAGGAUGCCCCCCUGCAGAUGGGAGGGCACCACGGCCACCGUGGAAAGAAGGCGAUGCAAGCAGAAACUUAGGAAAGCGAUGGACACAUUGUCUUCCCCUUCUUAG